CGGCAAUGACUGGAUGGCAGUGCGGUUAUAAGCAGCAGGAGCUGAGCAACUCAAUUAUGUCACCAGGGAUUUUUCAUGCACAGCAUGGGUCCUGGCUUUGUGAAGGUGACUACAGCAGAAGCAAUAGGAUUGCUGCUGAAACAGCUCUGGUCUAAUUGGGAGUGAGGUUUCCAGUAGAAUUACUUCGCACCUCAGUGCCUGCACCUUGGCUGAGUGACUGCAUACCCUGAGGUCGGUGGGGACUGCACCCUCCUCUAGAGGACCGAGGGUGAGGCGUCCAUGUUCCUGUUCUAGAAUCAUACUCUGUCAUCUCCUUACUCUC